rnacentral:rRNA from 1 species
GACGAACGCUGGCGGCGUGCUUAACACAUGCAAGUCGAACGGAAAGGCCCUGCUUUUGUGGGGUGCUCGAGUGGCGAACGGGUGAGUAACACGUGAGUAACCUGCCCUUGACUUUGGGAUAACUUUAGGAAACUGGGGCUAAUACCGGAUAUGAGCUCCUGCUGCAUGGUGGGGGUUGGAAAGUUUCGGCGGUUGGGGAUGGAUUCGCGGGUUAUCAGCUUGUUGGUGGGGUAGUGGCUUACCAAGGCUUUGACGGGUAGCCGGCAUGGGAGGGUGACCGGGCACCUGGGGACUGAGAUACGGACCAGACGGCUACGGGAGGCAGCAGGGGGGAAUAUUGCGCAAUGGGCGGAAGCCUGAUGCAGCAACGCCGCGUGCGGAAUACCGGCUUACGGGUUGUGAACCGCUUUGUCCUGUACCGUAGCGUGAUUGACGGUAAUGAAUCAGAAAGCCCCGGCUAACUACGUG